UGUUUCCUAGAUGUUGUCUCAUACAAUUUAACCCUCUACCGCAUGGUGUAGCCAUAUGGCAACAUACACUUUGUGUUCAUUUCCUUGCCACUGUCUCUUUAAGAGAACAUUCUCGUUUUUUUUGUUGGAAAGA